AUGCGUGCCAGCGCCCAUGCAAAUCUGCUGUACAUCCAGAGAGCAAAGUGGGAUGAUCUGUCACUACACCUGCAGCACCACGCUCGGAGGACAGCUCCUGCCUGCAGCUUCCAGACCCAGGAAGCCUGAGGGGAAGGAAGGAAGUACGGGCGAAAUCAUCAGAUUGGCUUCCCAGAUUUGGGAAUCUGAAGCGGGCCCACAUCUUCCGGCCAACUUCCAUUGAACUUCCCAGCACUCGAAAGGGACCGAAAUGGAGAGCAAAGUUCUGGAGACUGGGAAGUCUAAGACUGAGGGGUUGCCUCUGGUGAGAACCUUCUUCCUGCAUCAUAACGCGGCAGAAAACCUCACGUGGUGAGAGGACAAGAGCAUGUCAGCUCACGUCUCUCUUGCUCUUCUUGUAAAAUCACCAAUCCCAUCAUGGGGGCGCAACUCUAGUGACCUUAUCUGAUCCUAAUUGUCUCCCAAAGGCCUCAUCUCCAGAAGCCAUCAACGUAUGAAUUUGGGGAUUACGUUUCCAACACAUGAAAUUUGGGGGGUAUAUUCUACUAUGAUUGAAUGAACAUGCCAUAAUCCCUUUGUCUUAUUUCCAAGGCCUGGAUAAUUUUUUCCUAACAAGCAAGUGUGACAGAUCUUCUACCUUUAAAGGAAAACUGAGAUCAGGAUUUAUAUGUGAAAUUCUUUCUUAAAUAAAUAUAGGCUAAAUAAAGUGUGCUUGAGGACUGGCAACUGUGGAUUGCCACCUUGCAAACCAGGUAUAAACCAUUAUUCAAUUUGUGGACUCUAAAAAUAGCCUAUUCAUCAUGUGAUGACACUCAUUCUAUUCAUUGUAUCCAUCGUGUGCAGCUAUGCGCCCCAUGUUUCACUAUUAAAGCCUGUUAUCCAACUUUUGAAAAUAGGCAGUCUCCUGUUCAAAUGUCCUUACCAGACAUUUCAAGCCUCAGCUCUACUACGUUCUUCAGAAAAUUUCAGCAGAUUUGCUCCUUUUGCAUAACUUUACUCUAACAGACAAGCUGCUUACCCUCUUAAUAUUUAAGCAAUUAAAGGCAAGACUGAGAAUGAAAGUGUCUAGACAAAGUAAGACCAAAACCGUUUAAAUCCUUCUUACAAUAUUCUUAGGCAGAGGAAUGCAAUUUGAGGAUUUUUAUAAAAAGAGGACUUUUUUUUCCUGGUUUUUCCUUUGUUCUGGAGCCUUCUACCAUUUGAGCCAGUAUCUUUCAAGCCUCAGAGCGAGGGCAGAAGCACCCCAGAACAAAGAAAUCAAUGCCUAGCUUUGAAUUGAAAAAUGAACUUUUAAAAGUGCACCACAGAAAAAAAUAGCUUUGAAACCCAAUGCAGGCUUCUUGUGAGAUUGUUUUUUGGUUUGUUUGUUUGUUUAGUUACAAAGAUUGAUUUUGCUAAUAAAGAUUCAAAGUUUGGUGAACUC
rnacentral:lncRNA from 1 species